UGGACUGAGGCAGAGACACGUCGGGUAAUGGGCCCUUGAUGGUGUCGUCUGCCUGCAAGAGUUCAGAUGGGUGGACACUGGGAAACAUCUGCCUCCUAUUAUCUUCAUGGCUUCUCUGAGCAGAAUCCUGGGCUGUCACUCUUCUUUCUGGUCAGAAGCCCUGGGUGGACCUCAAGAAAGAAAUUUGGAGCAUUAUUAGAAAUCUCAUCAGUACAAAAGAUGAGAGUAUUGUCUGUGCUCCUUCAGGAAGGGAAACUGGGUCACUGAGAGUCAGCGAUGGAAAGAGACUUUUCACUCCACUGAAUCAUGUGAAUGUAGUACCUUUUUAGGAAAUAAGUGUAUUAAUCAAAAUAAAUUGAUUUUUAAUUCCUAAGAAGUAUGUGCAGAUGGAGUACUCUAUAGUCAUCUUUAUAAAAUCAUGUUUUUCAAGAGUAUGAAGUACACUUCACAGAAUAUGAGUUUAAAAAACACAGUACAAGACUAAAUGUGUAAAUGACGAGUUGAUGGGUGCUGACGAGUUGAUGGGUGCAGCACACCAACAUGGCACAAGUAUACAUAUGUAACAAACCUGCACGUUAUGCACAUGUACCCUAGAACUUAAAGUAUAAUAAUAAUAAAAAAUAAAUAAAUUUAAAAAAAGACUAAAUGUAUAUUCUAUGAUCCUAAUUUCUGUGAAAAUUUUAUGUACAUGCAUUAGAAACACUGGAAGUGAGUUCACCAACAUCUUAACAUUUUUUAUAAUAUAGUAGUGGAAUGUUGGUUGAAUUUACUUCUUUGUAUCUUUUGGUAUUUUCCAAAUUUUCCACUAUGUGUAUAUCUUUAUCUCACAAUAAAAAUGUUUCUGUGGCCACACAUACACAGAUGCUUCCAUUCCAGAUGGCACACUGAACAUAUGCAUUCAUAUCCUAUUUUCUUCCAAAAUUCCAUGGAAAUAAAAGAGAAAAUAUAAAAAUGCAAAUAAACACAUUAGUGCUAGAAAAAAGAAAGGAGCUACCAGUGAGGGUUGACUUCAUUAAGCAGAUGGAUCCUAUUUCCAGAAACCAGAGCAAAAGAUACCUUAAGCUAUGACACACGGAAGGUACUGCAAAAAUGAGUCAUUCUUCCCAACAGAAAGCCCGAGUAACCUCAAUUCAGCAAACAAACACAGAGUGUAAAUAGGACACGGGACACUCAGAUGGAUAAGAGUGUUAACUUGAAAAGCAAAACUCUGAAGGUAUUGAAAUACAAUAUUGAAAAAUUGUUUUGAAAUUUGGAACUAGGCAAGGAAAUAUCAUAAGUGAAGUAAGAUGAUAAACAACAGACUAGGAGAAAAUAGUUUUGCAUAAAGAGUUGACCAUUGAUAAUUGGCCAUAAUAUAUAGCAUUUCUAUAAUCUGAUUGAGAUAAGACAGUGGGAAAAAUUGAUAAAGAAAUUUAUAGGUAAAUAAAUAUAAA
rnacentral:lncRNA from 1 species